rnacentral:rRNA from 1 species
AAUGAACGCUGGCGGCGUGGAUUAGGCAUGCAAGUCCAGGGGGAAAAUUCCCUUCGGGGGAUGAGUACACCGGCGAACUGGUUAGUAACAGGUGGGGAACGUGCCCCGAGGCCGGGGAUAACCGUCUGGAAACAGCGGCUAAGACCCGAUUCGGCCCGGCAGUCUUCGGAUAGCCGGCGCCAAAGGCGCUCCUUCGGGAGUGCCGCCGCGGGAUCGCCCCGCCCCCGACUUAGCUAGAUGGCGAGGUAACGGCUCACCAUGGCUGCGAUCGGUAGGCUGGUCUGAGAGGAUGGUCAGCAACACUGGGACUGAGAUACGGCCCAGACUCCUACGGGAGGCAGCAGUCUAGAAGCUUCCGCAAUGGGCGAAAGCCUGACGGAGCGACGCCGCGUGCGCGAAGAAGGCCUCGGUU